CCAGAAAAGACUGCUUUUCAGAAUGAGGGGGGAUGCAGUCUGCAAGCAGAUGUCAUUUCAGGAGCCAAAGCCUAUAAGAUGUGGAAUUUGGGUGAAUGCUGGCCACGUAGGAUCAUACGUCACCUAUAAAACCACUUCUCGGUCCCCACAGCUCCGGCUACUCAAAUCUUUGCAAAGUCUGUCUCUUUACAUUGGAUCCAUAGAGUGAUACCAAACACAGACAAUUAAUUCAAGGCACAGGACAUAGGUACAAACUGCACUAUUGCAGGACCAGCGAUGGAGGCUCAAGGAUUACAGACUUCAGGGAGCGCCCUUGGUGACCCCAAAUUUAUCUAGAUGUAUGUAACAUUUCAUUCUGACAUCUUCUGCAAUUCAAGUUAAAAUCUUCAUUAAGGAAUCAAGCAAUUGACUCACUGAAAUAUCUAAUGGAAAAUCUAUUUUCUUAAAAUCUUGAUUGGGGACUUUCAGACUGCAGGAGUCCAUCUAACACGUUACAAGGUCAUGUGUGUACUGGGAUCCCGGGCUGGACUGAUAGGACUUCCUGCAAUCACUGGGAUAUGUGUAUCAGAACUAUUUGUAACACUGGGAUUUGAACGUUCUAUUAAAACACAUAAUUCUGUAUUUCUGUUUAUUGUUGGGUUCUGUGUGCCUGCUCCUUCUAGAUGUAUUUUAAAA